CUCCGGGUGGCUCAGAUGGUAAAGAAUCUGUCUGUAAAGCAGGAGACCCAGGUUUGAUCCCUGGGUUGGAAA
rnacentral:tRNA from 1 species